GGGCCGCUGGUGCGCAUGUGCCCCGCCGGCGCCCCAGAGUCUCGCCGGUGCCUAUACUAACGCCCGCGCGGCCUCUGGUAGUCGCCAGUUCCCUUGCGCGAGCCUGCCCGUCAGGACGCCCUCCUCAGGUGCAUAUUGCCCCACGCGACACCCAAUUACGACAUGCGCCUUUCAAGAAUGUCUAAUCAGCCAUCCAUUGCAAUCCUCUUAAUAAAAUAUAGAUCCGAUCACGAUGAAGCGCGACGCGUACGGCGACGACGGGCCCGCCAUGAAGCGGCACCGCCAGCCGGAUGACGAAGUGACCUUCCUCAUACCCAGCAAGGUGGCUGGCUCUAUCAUCGGUAAAGGAGGCACCAACAUAUCAAAAUUGAGAAGCCAGUACAAAGCCUCUAUAACAGUCCCAGAUUGCCCCGGCCCCGAACGGGUGCUCUCCAUAGCGGCACCGGAAGUGGAGACGAUUUUGGAUAUUGUGAAAGAUAUCCUUCCCAAUUUGGCUGAUGCGGGUGGCCCGCAUAAGGGAGGAAACAGCGAUGAAGAUCUCGAUGUCCGUCUACUGAUCCACCAGAGUCGAGCGGGUUGCGUGAUCGGCAAAGCAGGCGCCAAGAUUAAGGAAUUGCGAGAGAAAACUGGUGCUCGUCUGAAGAUAUUCUCAAACCCGGCGCCGCAGAGCACGGAGCGCGUGGUGCAGCUGGUCGGCGGGCCCGAGGCCGUCGCCGCCGCCGUGCGCGAGGUGCUCGACCUAGUGCGAGAGGUGCCCAUCAAAGGAGCCAUGCAAAAUUACGACCCCCACAACUACGACGACUACUACGCUGACGAAUACGGCGGCUUCGGCAACGGCCAGGGCGGGGGCCCGCGCGGCGGCCCCGGCCGAGGAGGCCCGCCCCGCGGCGCGCCCCCGCCGCGCGGCCUGCCGCCCCCGGGCCGCGGGCCGCCGCCGCGCGGGGGCCCGCCCAUGGGUCGCGGCGGCCCGCCCGGCCCUCGCGGCGGCUUCAACGACUUCUCCGGCCCCGGCGGACCCGGAGGCCCGGGCCCUAGGACCAACUUUAACGGCCCGCCUCGCGGCGGCAACUUCGCCGGCGGAAACUUUGGUGGGGGCGGCGGCGGCGGCGGCGGCAACUUUGGCGGUCGCGGUGGCGGCGGCGGCAACUUCGGCGGCGGCGGCGGCAACUUCGGUGGCGACAACAACCAACAGGAGACUACCACUCAGGUCACCAUUCCCAAAGACUUGGCCGGCGCGAUAAUCGGCAAGGCGGGGUCGCGCAUCCGCAAGAUCCGCGCGGACUCGGGCGCCGGCAUCGAGAUCGCGGAGCCGCUGCCCGGCUCCAACGACCGCAUCAUCACCAUCACGGGCACGCCGGCGCGCAUACAGACCGCGCAGUAUCUCUUGCAGCAGAGAAUGUUUGAAGAGUUCCCUGAGUUGGCACCAAACAAGUCUAAGAUAAAGUAGCCUUUCCUAAUCGGCCUCGACUGAGACGUCGUUGUCGUUUCAAGACAGGUGUGUCAACUAACGGGAGUCGUCUGCCGUGCGUUGUAUGGAAGACUAGUGAUUUUGUUGUUUGAUUCAGUAACAAAAAAUCACCAGUCUGCCUACAAAGUACCGGUGCCAUCUUCGGACCAAGAGCUUCUUCAUGCUGUCACUUGCCUUUAAUUCUACUAACUUGUUGUUCACGAGAGCAACCCGAGCCUGGGUGGCGGCCGAGGCAACUUCUGAUUGCAGUCUUCUUCUCGUCCGUAAGAAGUGCAACUCUAUUGCAGCUUUACUGAUCCACCUCAACACCAAUAAUGUACAAUAUAAGGCCGUGAGGCUCGCGUGACACUUUUCAGUAAUGUAUUUACAGAGUGAAUUACAAUAUAAUGAUUAAUGUAAGAGGAAUGCAUUUAUCGUAAUUUAUAUAUUAUAUAUAAUAAAUUUUACUAAGAUCGUGUCAAUAAUUUGAUGGGAAUUUGUUACAUCGAUUGUAUUUUUAAGUAAAUAGAACUAGAAUUAAUAAAGUUUAUUUUGCAAA